rnacentral:misc_RNA from 1 species
GAUGAAGAACGUAGCGAAAUGCGAUAAGUAAUGUGAAUUGCAGAAUUCAGUGAAUCAUCGAAUCUUUGAACGCAUCUUGCGCUCCUUGGUAUUCCUUGGAGCAUGCCUGUUUGAGUAUCAUGAGCAAAUCUCAAAGUCAAUUCCUUUUGUUAAUUCAAUUGGUUUUGCUUUGGACUUGGAGGUCUUGCAGAUUUCACAGUCUGCUCCUCUUAAAUGCAUUAGCUGGAUCUCAGUAAUUAUGCUUGGUUCCACUCGGCGUGAUAAGUAUCACUCGCUGAGGACACUGUUAAAAAGGUGGGCAGGAAAAUACUGAUUGAACCGCUUCUAACGGUCUAUUAAGUUAGACAAUUACCCUUAAGUUUGAUCUCAAAUCAGGUAGGACUACCCGCUGAACUUAAGCAUAUCAAUAAGCGGAGGA